GAUGAACGCUGGCGGCGUGCUUAACACAUGCAAGUCGAACGGUGAAAGUGGGAGCUUGCUCCUACUGGAUCAGUGGCGAACGGGUGAGUAACACGUGAGUAACCUGCCCCAGACUCUGGGAUAAGCGUUGGAAACGACGUCUAAUACCGGAUACGAGACGAGAAGGCAUCUUCAUCGUCUGAAAAGAAUUUCGGUCUGGGAUGGACUCGCGGCCUAUCAGCUAGUUGGUGAGGUAAUGGCUCACCAAGGCGACGACGGGUAGCCGGCCUGAGAGGGUGACCGGCCACACUGGGACUGAGACACGGCCCAGACUCCUACGGGAGGCAGCAGUGGGGAAUAUUGCACAAUGGGCGAAAGCCUGAUGCAGCAACGCCGCGUGAGGGACGACGGCCUUCGGGUUGUAAACCUCUUUUAGCAGGGAAGAAGCGAAAGUGACGGUACCUGCAGAAAAAGCACCGGCUAACUACGUGCCAGCAGCCGCCGUAAUAC
rnacentral:rRNA from 1 species